AGAUAAUCUUCCGACAAACUAUAUUUCCCAGACACGACUGAAUCUAUUCGAACAAGUCUAUUCGCCUCUCUCCAUUUUUACGGAGCAGGGAGAUUAAUUUAUUUAUUUUAGUGGCAUCACAAGGCAAAGAGAAUGGCGGGAGAUAAUUUGAAGUCCUGGGUGUCGGACAAACUGAUGGUGGUGCUUGGCUACUCGCAACCUGCUGUCAUUGAAUAUCUCAUUGCAAUGGCUAAAAGUUCAAGAUCAGCUUCUGAUAUAGUGCCUGAGUUGGUUCAUAUA